AUUGAACGCUGGCGGCAGGCCUAACACAUGCAAGUCGAACGAGUGGCGGACGGGUGAGUAAUGUCUGGGAAACUGCCUGAUGGAGGGGGAUAACUACUGGAAACGGUAGCUAAUACCGCAUACCAUCGGAUGUGCCCAGAUGGGAUUAGCUAGUAGGUGGGGUAACGGCUCACCUAGGCGACGAUCCCUAGCUGGUCUGAGAGGAUGACCAGCCACACUGGAACUGAGACACGGUCCAGACUCCUACGGGAGGCAGCAGUGGGGAAUAUUGCACAAUGGGCGCAAGCCGGAUGCAGCCAUGCCGCGUGUAUGAAGAAGGCCUUCGGGUUGUAAAGUACUUUCAGGAGGGAGGCGAUGCCUACAGAAGAAGCACCGGCUGACUCCGGGCCAGCAGCCGCGGUAAUUC
rnacentral:rRNA from 1 species